UACGUAGGGUGCAAGCGUUAUCCGGAAUUAUUGGGCGUAAAGAGCUCGUAGGCGGUUUGUCGCGUCUGCUGUGAAAACUGGAGGCUCAACCUCCAGCCUGCAGUGGGUACGGGCAGACUAGAGUGCGGUAGGGGAGAUUGGAAUUCCUGGUGUAGCGGUGGAAUGCGCAGAUAUCAGGAGGAACACCAAUGGCGAAGGCAGGUCUCUGGGCCGAUACUGACGCUGAGGAGCGAAAGCGUGGGGAGCGAACAGG
rnacentral:rRNA from 1 species